rnacentral:rRNA from 1 species
CCAUUAACCAAGGUGGCGAAAGCGUGGGGAGCAAACAGGAUUCAUUUAUACCCUGGUAGUCCACGCCGUAAACGAUGUCGAUUUGGAGGUUGUGCCCUUGAGGCGUGGCUUCCGGAGCUAACGCGUUAAAUCGACCGCCUGGGGAGUACGGCCGCAAGGUUAAAACUCAAAUGAAUUGACGGGGGCCCGCACAAGCGGUGGAGCAUGUGGUUUAAUUCGAUGCAACGCGAAGAACCUUACCUGGUCUUGACAUCCACAGAACUUUCCAGAGAUGGAUUGGUGCCUUCGGGAACUGUGAGACAGGUGCUGCAUGGCUGUCGUCAGCUCGUGUUGUGAAAUGUUGGGUUAAGUCCCGCAACGAGCGCAACCCUUAUCCUUUGUUGCCAGCGGUUCGGCCGGGAACUCAAAGGAGACUGCCAGUGAUAAACUGGAGGAAGGUGGGGAUGACGUCAAGUCAUCAUGGCCCUUACGACCAGGGCUACACACGUGCUACAAUGGCAUAUACAAAGAGAAGCGACCUCGCGAGAGCAAGCGGACCUCAUAAAAGUAUGUCGUAGUCCGGAUUGGAGUCUGCAACUCGACUCCAUGAAGUCGGAAUCGCUAGUAAUCGUAGAUCAGAAUGCUACGGUGAAUACGUUCCCGGGGCCUUGUACACACCGCCCGUCACACCAUGGGAGUGGGUUGCAAAAGAAGUAGGUAGCUUAACCUUCGGGAGGGCGCUUACCACUUUGUGAUUCAUGACUGGGGUGAAGUCGUAACAAGGUAACCGUAAA